GACGGAGGGUGCUAGCGUUGUUCGGAAUUACUGGGCGUAAAGGGCGCGUAGGCGGCUCUUUCAGUCGGAUGUGAAAGCCCGGGGCUCAACCCCGGAACGGCAUCCGAGACGGGAGGGCUCGAGACCGGGAGAGGAGGGUGGAAUAGCCAGUGUAGAGGUGAAAUUCGUAGAUAUUGGCUGGAACACCGGUGGCGAAAGCGGCUCUCUGGCCCGGUUCUGACGCUGAGGCGCGAAAGCGUGGGGAG
rnacentral:rRNA from 1 species